CUUUCUUUGCUGGCGACCGGCGCACGGGUGAGUAGCACGUAUCCAACCUGCCCUUUACUCGGGGAUAGCCUUUCGAAAGAAAGAUUAAUACCCGACAGCAUAAUGACUCCGCAUGGUUUCAUUAUUAAAGGAUUCCGGUAAAGGAUGGGGAUGCGUUCCAUUAGGUUGUUGGUGAGGUAACGGCCCACCAAGCCUUCGAUGGAUAGGGGUUCUGAGAGGAAGGUCCCCCACAUUGGAACUGAGACACGGUCCAA
rnacentral:rRNA from 1 species